GCAAAGCUGACAGGCUUACUCCCCAGGUUUAAAGUAAAACUCCCCCCGAAUGAAAUCCAGCACAAAUCCUCACUAAAUGGAGAUAUGGUUAUUGUUAGUGCUAUAGUAGAGCCCAGGAAGGCUCCUCUCCAGGACUGCAUCAGACUGCAGGGAUUCAGACAUGCCAGGUGAAGAAAAUGUCAGUCAGGAAAAUGGACAACCUGCUGGAGAUUAGUUCAGAGCCAGCGACUCCCUUCUAAGGGGUGAGCAUACAUUCACUAACAGCUAAAAUGAAAUCUCAGUUUUUGUUGCUCUGCUUUGUACUUCUGGUUGUUUCCAAUGUGUUGAUUACCAGUCCAGUCAUGCUCAUUUGCCUCUUGCCCCUGGAACUUCUCAAGUUCAAAUAAAGAAAUGGUUAUUGGCAUUAUUACA